rnacentral:rRNA from 1 species
GUAGUCUCGCACAGAUGCAUAUCAAUAAGCGGAGGAAAAGAAACUAACAAGGAUUCCCCUAGUAACGGCGAGUGAAGCGGGAAGAGCUCAAAUUUGAAAUCUUAAAGGGUUUCCCUUUACGAAUUGUAGUUUAAAGAAGUGUUUUCUGUUGAGGUUUUGGUAAAAGUUCUUUGGAAUAGGACAUCAUAGAGGGUGAGAAUCCCGUAUUUGACCUUUACUUUCAACUUUGUGAUACACUUUCAAAGAGUCGGAUUGUUUGGGAAUGCAGUCCAAAAUGGGUGGUAAAUUUCAUCUAAAGCUAAAUAUUGGCGAGAGACCGAUAGCGAACAAGUACCGUGAGGGAAAGAUGAAAAGAACUUUGAAAAGAGAGUUAAACAGUACGUGAAAUUGUCAAAAGGGAAGCGUUUGACACCAGUGUUGUUUUUCUGAAAAUCAAUUAAAGAACUGUUUAUGCUAAGCUGUUUAGACUUUAUCAGCUAUCUGUUUAGUUUUGAGCUUUUCUUUAAUGCACUUUUCAGUUAACAAGUCAACAUCAAUUUCUUUUGCUGUAAAAAGGCUUGAGGAAGGUGGCUUGAGAUUCGUCUUAAGUGUUUAUAGCCUCUUGCCUAUGCAGUCGGAGAGAUUGAGGUCUGCAGCGUAGAUCCUUCGGGGCUAAAUGCAUUUGUGCUAAGUUAUAGCAUUUUAUAGACAACUUGUUGACUAUGAUUUGUCUUGUAGCUUACUCGCUUAUGUUAUUUUACCUACGCUUAGGAUGUUGAGUAGCGACAUACGCAC